CACUCCUGCGGGAGGCAGCAGUGGGGAAUUUUGGACAAUGGGCGAAAGCCUGAUCCAGCAAUGCCGCGUGUGUGAAGAAGGCCUUCGGGUUGUAAAGCACUUUUGUCCGGAAAGAAAUCCUUGGCUCUAAUACAGUCGGGGGAUGACGGUACCGGAAGAAUAAGCACCGGCUAACUACGUGCCAGCAGCCGCGGUAAUACGUAGGGUGCGAGCGUUAAUCGGAAUUACUGGGCGUAAAGCGUGCGCAGGCGGUUUGCUAAGACCGAUGUGAAAUCCCCGGGCUCAACCUGGGAACUGCAUUGGUGACUGGCAGGCUAGAGUAUGGCAGAGGGGGGUAGAAUUCCACGUGUAGCAGUGAAAUGCGUAGAGAUGUGGAGGAAUACCGAUGGCGAAGGCAGCCCCCUGGGCCAAUACUGACGCUCAUGCACGAAAGCGUGGGGAGCAAACAGGAUUAGAAACCCCAGUAGUCCCAUGAU
rnacentral:rRNA from 1 species